AAUUGUCUUUUCUAUUUUCUCUCUUCCCCAACCGAGUCGACGCAGACAACCACAAUGUUCUUCCUCCGAGUCCACUCAGUGGACACCAACCACCCUCUCAGCCUCGAAGACGCCGAGUUCACCACCAUCACAACUUCCAAGAUCACCAGUGCUACUGAAUCAAACCCUAACAUCAUCCCCAAAUUCAGCGAGCGAAGAGGCAUAGCUCACCUGUUCCGAAGCAUAGGACACUCGUCGCUGCCGAACAGCCCUGCCUCUCGAUCCACUCUCCUCUUCGUCAUUGCUGUUCCCAACUACCUCUCCUUCGACGACUUCAUCCGCUUCUGUGGGUCCCGAAUCGACCAUGUCCUCCAACUCGUCUUCAUCAGGAACGAUGGGAUGGAAGAUCGGUACAGUGUUUUAGUUGAGCUGAAGAAUCAGAUGACCGCCGACGGAUUUUAUCACACUUUAAAUGGGAAGAAGUAUUCGCCUGGAGAGGCCGAGGUGUGCCACAUUCUGUUUCUGCUUUCUGUGGACUACACGGAUUCAGAUGAAAUAGCUGGGACUCCUCCAGAAGGAUGUACUGAAUUACCUACUUGCCCAGUUUGCCUUGAGAGAUUGGAUGCAGACACUAGUGGAAUAGCGAGUACACUUUGUGACCAUUCAUUUCAAUGUCCAUGCAUUUCAAAAUGGACUUAUUUAUCUUGUCAGGUUUGCCGAUUUUGUCAGCAGCAGGAUGAAAAGCCAGCUUGCUCUAUUUGUGGAAUAUCUGUGAAUCCCUGAGUUUGCGUAAUAUGUGGUUUUGUAGGAUGUGGAAGAUAUACAGAAGGCCAUGCUGUUAGGCACUGGAAGGAUACACAGCAUUGCUAUUCUCUUGAGUUGAACAGGCAGCAGAUUUGGGAUUAUGUUGGUGAUGCUUAUGUUCACCGCCUGAACCAAUCAAAAAUUGAUGGCAAGCUAAUAACUGAUAUGGAUUCUCAAUGUAUGUCAGUGGAAGGGGAUUGUGACAGGUGUGAAUGCAGUGAUGAUUCUGGAAUUAGUGGAGCCCUCUACAGCAGCAAAGUUGAAACUAUUGUAGACGAGUAUAACCGACUUCUUGCAAGUCAGCUUGAAACUCAAAGACAAUAUUAUGAAUCUCUACUUAUGGAGGCCAAAAGUAAAAAGGAAAGUUCAAUUUUAGAAGCAGUGGAGAAAGCUGUAAAUUCCAAGAUGCAGGAUUUUCAAGCGAAACUGGAGAAAUGUCUUGAGGAAAGAAAUGUUGUUGAAGAUAUAAACCGUAAUCUCAUCAAGGGCCAAGAAACCCGGUGUGGAAAGUUGAAGGAAAUUGAAGAGAGGGAAGCUGCAUCACUGAGGUUAAGAGAGGAGAAGAUACUUGAUCUAGAAGAACAGAUUAGAGAUCUUACAGUCUACAUUGAAGCCCAAAAAACACUUAAGGACAUGACGGAUUCAGAUGGCAUCAAAGGGGGAACGCUCUUGCCUGUACCUUCCUCAAAGCAAUCUUCUCCUGCCAACUCUAGACGACAAACAAAAUCUGGUCGAAGACGGAACUAAAAGAAGGGCACUCAACAUUUCGUGUAUAGUAAACUCAACAUUUCGUGUAUGGCAAUAAUUGUGUGUCCAGCUGAUUUUGGAUAAUGUAGCGAUUUCAUUCAGUCUUAAUGCUUCAGUAACUUUCCUUUGGAUGUGCAUCUGAGAGUGAGAAGGUUUCCAAAUCAUGACCAUGCCAAGGAUUUUCCUGAAGAAAGGGAUUGAGCAAUAUGUAUGAGAACAACAAACAGUGCAAGGGCAUGAUUUCUUAUGUUCAAUGUAAAAUUGUGUUCUAUGUA